ACAUAGGUGGCAAGCGUUGUCCGGAAUUAUUGGGCGUAAAGCGCGCGCAGGUGGGAUCUUAAGUCCAUUUUGAAAGUUCGGAGCUCAACUCUGUGAUGGGGUGGAAACUGGGAUACUUGAGUAUCGGAGAGGAAAGCGGAAUUCCCCGUGUAGGGGUGAAAUGCGUAGAUAUGGGGAGGAACACCAGUGGCGAAGGCGGCUUUCUGGACGAUGUCUGACGCUGAGCCGCGAAAGCCAGGGGAGCGAACGG
rnacentral:rRNA from 1 species